rnacentral:rRNA from 1 species
AUUGAACGCUGGCGGCAGGCCUAAUACAUGCAAGUCGAGCGAGCGGCGGCCGGGUGAGUAAUGUCUGGGAAACUGCCUGAUGGAGGGGGAUAACUACUGGACACGGUAGCUAAUACCGCAUACCAUCAGAUGUGCCCAGAUGGGAUUAGCUAGGAGGUGGGGUAACGGCUCACCUAGGGGCCGAUCCCUAGCUGGGCUGAGAGGAUGACCAGCCACACUGGAACUGAGACACGGUCCAGACGCCUACGGGAGGCAGCAGUGGGGAAUAUUGCACAAUGGGCGCAAGCCUGAUCCAGCCAUGCCGCGUGUGUGAAGAAGGCCUUCGGGUUGUAAAGCACUUUCAGCGGGGAGGCGUUACCCGCAGAAGAAGCACCGGCUAACUCCGUGCCAGCAGCCGCGGUAAUAC